rnacentral:rRNA from 1 species
GAUGAACGCUAGCGGCAGGCCUAAUACAUGCAAGUCGAACGGGAUCUGAGGGUAGCUUGCUACCCGAUUUGAGAGUGGCGCACGGGUGCGUAACGCGUGAGCAACCUACCCAUAUCAGGGGGAUAGCCCGGAGAAAUUCGGAUUAAUACCGCAUAAGAAUGUAUUAACACAUGUUAAAGCAUUUAAUAUUUAUAGGAUAUGGAUCGGCUCGCGUGACAUCCGCUAGUUGGUGAGGUAACGGCUCACCAAGGCGACGAUGUCUAGGGGCUCUGAGAGGAGAAUCCCCCACACUGGUACUGAGACACGGACCAGACUCCUACGGGAGGCAGCAGUAAGGAAUAUUGGUCAAUGGGCGGAAGCCUGAACCAGCCAUGCCGCGUGCAGGACGACUGCCCUAUGGGUUGUAAACUGCUUUUGUCGAGGAAUAAACCUAUCUACGUGUAGCUAGUUGAACGUACUCGAAGAAUAAGGAUCGGCUAACUCCGUGCCAGCAGCCGCCGUAA